AGGAUUUUUUUUCUAUUUAAUAAGAGCAAUUCUCUUCAAAUUUUGUUUAUUUUUUGCUAAUUUAGUUCUUAAAAAGUGUAUAAAAUUUCAAAAAAUAUUAAAAAUUUAAUUGAUAGAUAUUGAGGUUCUAAAUUGUGCUAAAGUUAGAUUGAAUUGAUUAGGUUUGGUUAGGAUUUGGUUUAAGAUUAAGGUUGAGUUAGGAUUUAGGAUUUGAUUAAGGUUUAGUUAGGGUUUAGGAUUGGACUAGGAUUUAAGAUUUUGAUUAGGAUCUGCUUAGGAUUUAGGAUUGGAUUAGAGUUUAGUAUUUGAGUUAAGAUUUGCUUAAAAUUCAAGAUUUAGGAAUUGUUUAAGAUGUAGGAUUUAGGAUUUGUUUAGGAUUUGGUUUAGUAUUUUCUUAGGAUUUAAGAUUUAAGAUUUUCUUAGGAUUUAGGAUUUAGGAUUUUUUAGGAUUUAGAAUUUGGCCUAAGGUUUUAUUCAAGUCUAUUAGGGUUUCAACUAGAAUUAAAUUAGGACUUAAUUGAGAUUUAUUUAAGAUAUAUUUUUUGAUUAUUCUGAAUUUCUUUUAUAGUUCUUUUAUAGUUUUUU
rnacentral:lncRNA from 1 species